rnacentral:lncRNA from 1 species
UAGAUGAAGCGAACCUCGGCGUUGACGAUCCAAAGGCCUGACUCCACAGCGGUAAUGCGUCCCCUCUACUAUCAAGGAGAGACUCUACCUUGCACUACACCUUCACUGACAACGCCCACGAUCAACACCUCUGCCUCACCACUACCGCAACAUCAGAGGACUGUCUUGCAUCGCGCCCAGACACUACGUAGAUUUCACUAACCAGGAAUUGGCGAUCCAAGGCCUGAGUGUAGCGAUCAAGGGACUCCACCACCACUGCCGCCGUCCAGCGAGAUUCGGCUCCACAUCUCACACCUUCCGCCGCCGUCCCAACACCACCACCAUCAAGGAUUAUGCACGGCACCUUGACCCUGCGCGGCCAUCACCUACUGUGGGUGUUGGUGGCCAGGGUGACGGGGGAGGAGUUGCGGGCAGCGUGACAGUCAGUCUUCCCUCAUUCACUGUGGUACUGUGGGUGGUGUGGUGUGGUGCCAUUACUCCAUUGUAAUAAACUGUCUUCACUGCCUCAUUGUGGUGUUCUCACUGUACUAAGAGCUGUUGUCAAUAAAUAAUAAAUUGUGUAGAAAU